GACGAACGCUGGCGGCGUGCCUAAUACAUGCAAGUAGAACGCACAGUUUAUACCGUAGCUUGCUCCACCAUAGACUGUGAGUUGCGAACGGGUGAGUAACGCGUAGGUAACCUGCCUGGUAGCGGGGGAUAACUAUUGGAAACGAUAGCUAAUACCGCAUAAUAUUAAUUAUUGCAUGAUAAUUAAUUGAAAGGUGCAAUUGCACCACUACCAGAUGGACCUGCGUUGUAUUAGCUAGUAGGUGAGGUAACGGCUCACCUAGGCGACGAUACAUAGCCGACCUGGGAGGGUGAUCGGCCACACUGGGACGGAGACACGGCCCAGACUACUACGGGAGGCAGCAGUAGGGAAUCUUCGGCGAUGGACGAAAGUCUGACCGAGCAACGCCGCGUGAGUGAAGAAGGUUUUCGGGUCGUAAAGCUCUGUUGUAAGAGAAGAACGGGUGUGAGGGUGGAAAGUUCACACUGUGACGGUAUCUUACCAGAAAGGGACGGCUAACUACGUG
rnacentral:rRNA from 1 species